UGGGGAAUUUUGGACAAUGGGGGAAACCCUGAUCCAGCCAUCCCGCGUGUGCGAUGAAGGCCUUCGGGUUGUAAAGCACUUUUGGCAGGAAAGAAACGUCGCGGGUUAAUACCCCGCGAAACUGACGGUACCUGCAGAAUAAGCACCGGCUAACUACGUGCCAGCAGCCGCGGUAAUACGUAGGGUGCAAGCGUUAAUCGGAAUUACUGGGCGUAAAGCGUGCGCAGGCGGUUCGGAAAGAAAGAUGUGAAAUCCCAGAGCUUAACUUUGGAACUGCAUUUUUUAACUACCCGGGCUAGAGUGUGUCAGAGGGAGGUGGAAUUCCGCGUGUAGCAGUGAAAUGCGUAGAUAUGCGGAGGAACACC
rnacentral:rRNA from 1 species